UUUAUCUCACUCCGCAGAUGAAUUUCAACGAGAGAGGACCUCUGAAAGUUUGCUCCUCGUAACGGUCGCGACUUUUUCGCAUCAUCUCAACUAAUGUGCACACAAAGUUGUAAAUUCAUCCUGGCAUCCUCCAUUGGUCUUUUCUGAACUGGCUGCUCUUUCUCCGCCAGCUCAGCGCAUAAUUUCAAACCAUCUUCUCUUCAAAAGGCACUGUACAAGCCACUGCAUCAACACAGGUUUCGCCCGGCGGAGAAUCCCGUCAGGGCCUGGCGAGUCGGCACAUUUACAAGCUCGGAGCGGAGUCCUGAGUACCGAGCGUCACAAAUUGCGUCAAACUGAAAUUGAAUGGAACUGAACAAGAAACAAAGUAGGCGUACGGAACGUGUUGAACUCGAACUGAACCUCGACUUGGAGGAUGCUCUAGCUCCACGCAAGAAUAUCUGGGAAAUGGCAGCCUGUCAUAUCUGGAUGAGAGUGGUCAGAUGAAGAGGCUCCAGGCUUCUUGGUGAGGCCCCAUUGCUGCUAGGAGGAGGACGCAGGGAGGAGAACCUACGGAGGACUGUGGACACGAUUCUUUAUGAAGAGAAAACCCCACAGGAUAAUCGGGCAAGAAACUUCAUUAUUACUAAUUUAAAAGAUAUUUCAAGAGAUGAAAUGAAUAAGACUUAAGGGUUUGCAUAGUGGACAUUAAUGGGAGGAUUGUCGUAUAUAGCACCAUGUGAAUGGUGUCUCUUAGCUUAGUGAAUUGUGUGGUUCUGAGAAGAACCAGUUAAAAACAGAUAAAAUGGACUUCAGCGGCUUGCGUCUGGAACAAGGUCAGACGCCAAGAACACUGUCAGAAUGAAAAGGCUUGAUGCCUUAUAAAUCUUAUUAUUGAACCAUCAAUGAUAUUCCAAGUUAUACAAUUCAGUGAAGACGAACUGCAAUGAACAUUAGUCACACUACUUGGAAUAUGAUCCAUCAGCCUUAUAAUAAGGUUUAUCAUAAGUCAAUAGUAAAACAGGACUGUUUAUACGACUUAUUCCAUGAGGAAUACAAAGAAGAACUGAGAUGUCACAGUGUCUUAAUUCAGUGAAGAUGAACUGCAAUGAA